AAAAGCCCAGUGUUGAACUUGUCUGAGGUCUUCAUGAGUUGACCUUGCAUACCAAGUUUCAUCUUUAUACACAAAGUGUUUGUCAAGAUAUGGUGUGUGCAAGGUUUUAGCAUAGUUUUGUAAAGUUGGCUGCCCCCUAGUGGACACAAUUAAAAUUAAAAGGCACCCAACAGUGAACUUCAGUGAGGUUGUAGUGAGGUGACCUUGUGAACCAAGUUUCACUUUGAUGCACAAAGUCUUUGUGAAGAUAUUGCAUGCAGAUUGACCACAUGGACAGACAGACGCACACAUGGCGUCACACCUAGAACUUUUAGAAAUGUAAGUACUUUAUGUGAACGUGGCAAUGGCGUUAAAAGCUUUGCACGCACAGAACCGUUCUGCUGGAC